AAUUAUUUGUAUUUGAUUACAUACUAAAAUAAUAUUACAAAAGUUUUUGUACAAUUGCUCAAAAGCACUUACAUACAUAUAGUUACAUGCUUAUAUUAAAAUCUAAUGUCUACAAAUAUAUUUACACUAUACCCAAUAUAAUCUCAGUUUGUCUUCAAGUCGCAGCUUCAAGUGAUCUCACUCAGCCUCUCUAUCUUUUCUUUCAUCUCUUUUGUUGACUUGAUUUAAUCCAAUUUUCUUUCUUUCUUCGAAGAUCCCUUUCAAACUAUUAGGUCUUAUAAGUUGAAUUCUUGUAUUUAGGGUUAUGGAGUUACUAUUUAUUUGACUAAUUAG
rnacentral:misc_RNA from 1 species